rnacentral:rRNA from 1 species
UACGGGGGGGGCAAGCGUUGUUCGGAAUUACUGGGCGUAAAGGGCUCGUAGGCGGCCAACUAAGUCGGAUGUGAAAUCCCCAGGCUCAACUUGGGAACUGCAUCCGAUACUGGAUGGCUUGAAUUCGGGAGAGGGAUGCAGAAUUCCAUGUGUAGCGGUGAAAUGCGUAGAUAUCUGGAGGAAUACCGGUGGCGAAGGCGGCAUCCUGGACCGACAUUGACGCUGAGGAGCGAAAGCUAGGGGAGCAAACGGG